AUGGCUGUCGUCAGCUCGUGUCGUGAGAUGUUGGGUUAAGUCCGCAACGAGCGCAACCUUACCCUUAGUUGCCAGCGGGUAAUGCCGGGCACUCUAAGGGGACGCCCCGGAUAACGGGGAGGAAGCGGGGAUGACGUCAAGUCAGCAUGGCCUUUAUGUCCAGGGCUGCACACGUGCUACAAUGGGCGAUACAGAGGGAAGCAAGGCCGCAAGGUAGAGCUAAUCCCUAAAGUCGUCCUCAGUUCGGAUUGCAGGCUGCAACUCGCCUGCAUGAAGUCGGAAUCGCUAGUAAUCGCGGAUCAGCUACGCCGCGGUGAAUACGUUCUCGGGCCUU
rnacentral:rRNA from 1 species